AUACGUAGGGGGCGAGCGUUGUCCGGAAUUAUUGGGCGUAAAGGGUUCGUAGGCGGUCUUUUAAGUCAGAUGUGAAAGGUCACGGCUCAACCGUGGUAAGCAUUUGAAACUGAGAGACUUGAGUUAAGGAGAGGAAAGUGGAAUUCCUAGUGUAGCGGUGAAAUGCGUAGAUAUUAGGAGGAAUACCAGUGGCGAAGGCGACUUUCUAGACUUAAACUGACGCUGAGGAACGAAAGCGUGGGGAGCAAACAGGAUUAGAUACCCUGGUAGUCCACGCCGUAAACGAUGAGUGCUAGGUGUUGGGGGUCAAACCUCGGUGCCGCAGCUAACGCAUUAAGCACUCCGCCUGGGGAGUACGUACGCAAGUAUGAA
rnacentral:rRNA from 1 species